rnacentral:lncRNA from 14 species
UUUAUUUUUCCUUUUUUUUUUCUCCCUAGGAAUGAUCCUGAUUUGUUCAGAUGUUGAUUAAAAAAUUUGAAUGCAGAAUAUCAGAUAUAUCAUCAUCAACUAAGAAGAGGAAAUCUGACCUUGGAAGCUGCCAAGUGUAGGCCAUAUUGGAAAUGCUUCUGGGGAGGCACUGUCUUUUUUUUUUGUGACGUCUGUAUAGUGCCAAAACAGAUCUGGGUCUUCUAAAAC